UACGGAGGGUGCAAGCGUUAUCCGGAAUCAUUGGGUUUAAAGGGUCCGCAGGCGGAUUUAUAAGUCAGUGGUGAAAGCCCGUUGCUUAACAACGGAACUGCCAUUGAUACUGCAAGUCUUGAAUUCGAUCGAAGUGGGCGGAAUAUGACAUGUAGCGGUGAAAUGCUUAGAUAUGUCAUAGAACACCGAUAGCGAAGGCAGCUCACUAGGUCUGGAUUGACGCUCAGGGACGAAAGCGUGGGGAGCAAACAGG
rnacentral:rRNA from 1 species